rnacentral:rRNA from 1 species
AAAAACAUGGCUCUUUGCUCACAUAAAUAUAAAGAGUCGAGCCUGCCCAGUGAAUUUUUUAACGGCCGCGGUACUCUGACCGUGCAAAGGUAGCAUAAUCAUUUGCCUUAUAAUUGAAGGCUAGUAUGAAUGGUUUGACGAGAGCAAUACUGUCUCCUUUUUAUUUUCAAAAACUUAACUUUUAGGUGAAGAGGCCUAAAUUUUAUUGAAGGACAAGAAGACCCUGUCGAGCUUAAAAGACACUAUAGAAGUUUAGUAUAUCUUUAGAUAAAUUUUCUAUCAAGCUUUUUAGUUGGGGCGACUAAGGAACAAAAAAAGCUUCUUUCUAAUAAUAAACAAUCAUGUUUGGAUCCGAUAAUAGCGAUCAAAGAAAUUAGUUACCGCAGGGAUAACAGCAUAAUCUCUCUUAAGAGACCUAAUCGAAAGAGGGGGUUGUGACCUCGAUGUUGGACUAGAAUAUCCUAAAGAUGCAGAAGUCUUUAAGGGUCGGUCUGUUCGACCGUUAAAAUUCUACGUGAUCUGA